CAUAUUGGAAUUUUAAAAUGUCACAACAUCCAAAUCCAAAAUUUUGUGACAUUCAUUAGGGCUUUCCGUCAUUCCAAAAAAAAGUUUUUGGGCUUUCUGACAUCGUUUAUGCGAAAUGGCAUUUGUAGUUUUCUGUAGCCCUUGCCGAUAAAGGACUUCCUCGGGUCAAUCUGCUAUGAAACAAAAUAAAGACAAAGGAUCAGCGAAGGAACUUCAUAUCUACUACUAACUAAAUUUCCAAUGAACAUUCCAUUAAGGAACAUAAGAACAUCCUAAAUUAAGCAAUAGAGACGCAGUUCAAAAUAAAAAGGAUCAACCAGGGAACUUCAUAUCAAUAUCUGUAAGUACCGGCCGCUUCAAGUAAAGCUCAAUCAAAGGUGAUUUAUUAUCAGGGUAACGAUCAGCAGAAUGAAAACUUUCAAUCAAGAAGAUCUGCGGUGCUCAAAUACCCAACAUUUGUGAGGAUAUAAUCAACACUGAACAAUAAUUUAUUUUCAAGUCAGGAUCUCUACCACAAGCUUUAGAAAUCCAUAUCAAAAAGUUAUCCAGUGUUAUCUUGCAUAAGUGUCUUUCGAGUUUUCAAAAAUCAGCAUAAAAUUGAUGUAUUCUUUUUGAUA